rnacentral:rRNA from 1 species
UACAGAGGGGGCAAGCGUUGUUCGGAAUUACUGGGCGUAAAGGGCGCGUAGGCGGCCCGCUAAGUCGAACGUGAAAUCCCCAGGCUCAACCUGGGAACUGCGUCCGAUACUGGCAGGCUUGAAUCCGGGAGAGGGAUGUGGAAUUCCUAGUGUAGAGGUGAAAUUCGUAGAUAUUAGGAAGAACACCAGUGGCGAAGGCGGUCACUGGUCCGGUACUGACGCUGAGGCGCGAAAGCGUGGGGAGCAAACAGG